GAGAGAGGGGGCGAGCGUUGUCCGGAGUCACUGGGCGUAAAGCGCGCGCAGGCGGCAACCUAAGUGUCGUGUGAAAGCCCCCGGCUCAACCGGGGGAGGCCAUGGCAAACUGGGUCGCUCGAGCUGCGGAGAGGCCCCUCGAAUUGCCGGUGUAGCGGUGAAAUGCGUAGAGAUCGGCAGGAAGACCAAGGGGGAAGCCAGGGGGCUGGCCGCAGGCUGACGCUGAGGCGCGAAAGCGUGGGGAGCAAACCGG
rnacentral:rRNA from 1 species